rnacentral:rRNA from 1 species
GAUGAACGCUGGCGGCGUGCCUAACACAUGCAAGUCGAGCGGCAGCGAGGGGUGCUUGCACCCUGUCGGCGGGCGGCGGACGGCUGAGUAACGCGUGGGAACGUGCCCCAAAGUGAGGAAUAACUGCCCGAAAGGGUAGCUAAUACCGCAUAUUAUCUUCGGAUCAAAGGAUUUAUCCGCUUUGGGAGCGGCUCGCGUCGGAUUAGGUAGUUGGUGAGGUAAUGGCUCACCAAGCCGACGAUCCGUAGCUGGUCUGAGAGGAUGACCAGCCAGACUGGAACUGAGACACGGUCCAGACUCCUACGGGAGGCAGCAGUGAGGAAUCUUCCACAAUGGGCGAAAGCCUGAUGGAGCAACGCCGCGUGCAGGACGAAGGCCUUCGGGUUGUAAACUGCUUUUAUAAGUGAGGAAUAUGACGGUAACUUAUGAAUAAGGAUCGGCUAACUACGUG